rnacentral:rRNA from 1 species
GACGAACGCUGGCGGCGUGCCUAAUACAUGCGAGUCGAGCGAAGUUUUUCUGGUGCUUGCACCGGAAAAACUUAGCGGCGAACGGGUGAGUAACACGUAAAGAACCUGCCUCAUAGACUGGGACAACUAUUGGAAACGAUAGCUAAUACCGGAUAACAGCAUUAACUGCAUGGUUGAUGUUUGAAAGUUGGUUUUGCUAACACUAUGAGAUGGCUUUGCGGUGCAUUAGCUAGUUGGUGGGGUAAAGGCCUACCAAGGCGACGAUGCAUAGCCGACCUGAGAGGGUGAUCGGCCACACUGGGACUGAGACACGGCCCAGACUCCUACGGGAGGCAGCAGUAGGGAAUCUUCCGCAAUGGGCGAAAGCCUGACGGAGCAACGCCGCGUGAGUGAAGAAGGAUUUCGGUUCGUAAAGCUCUGUUGUUAGGGAAGAAUGAUUAUGUAGUAACUAUACAUAGUAGAGACGGUACCUAACCAGAAAGCCACGGCUAACUACGUG